rnacentral:rRNA from 1 species
GACGAACGCUGGCGGCGUGCUUAACACAUGCAAGUCGAACGGAAAGGCCCCUUUGGGGGUACUCGAGUGGCGAACGGGUGAGUAACACGUGAGUAACCUGCCCUUGACUUCGGGAUAACUUCAGGAAACUGGGGCUAAUACCGGAUAGGAAUCCUUGCUGCAUGGUGGGGGUUGGAAAGCUUCGGCGGUUUUGGAUGGACUCGCGGCUUAUCAGCUUGUUGGUGGGGUAGUGGCUUACCAAGGCUUUGACGGGUUGCCGGCCUGAGAGGGCGACCGGCCACAUUGGGACUGAGAUACGGCCCAGACUCCUACGGGAGGCAGCAGUGGGGAAUAUUGCACAAUGGGCGGAAGCCUGAUGCAGCAACGCCGCGUGCGGGAUGACGGCCUUCGGGUUGUAACCCGCUUUCAGCAGGGGCGAAGCUUGUGGUGACGGUACCUGCAGAAGAAGCACCGGCUAACUACGUG